rnacentral:ncRNA from 1 species
UGCAGGUGUGCGUAGGAAUAAGCUCAGGUCGUCUUUUGACGGCAACUCCAAGUGGGUGGGAUCCUGAGUCCUAGGACCUGCAUUUUU